rnacentral:hammerhead_ribozyme from 1 species
GCACUGCUGACGAAUCCUAAACAGGACGAAACAGCUGUCCAGUGU